rnacentral:rRNA from 1 species
ACAUGCCUACAACAUAGCAUUAAUGCACUGAAUCCCAUUAUAAAUCCAUAGUUGAGCACACUCAGGCUAGAGUAGUACUAGGAUGGGUGACCGCAUGGGAAUUCCUAAUGUUUUACAUGCC